ensembl:misc_RNA 7SK 7SK RNA
GAAUGUGAAGAUAAUCCAUUGGCAACACGUCAUUUCCUUGAUCAACAUGAUUGAUGAGGCUUAUUUGAGUGGCUGAGAAUGUUUCUCUUUCCUCCCUUACAGUUCCAUGUGCAUCCCUUCCAAAGCCACAUGCUCAAUCAAAGAAGAUGGAUGAUCUUUCCAGAUAGAGUAGUGCUGUUCUUUAGUCAAGGAUAUAGAGUGGUUGUGUUUCCAUACCAGAACCUCUAUUCCAGUGGUUCUCAAACUUCAGCAUGCAUUAGAAUCACCGGGGUGAGGGUGGGGUGGGUAUUAAUGUAUACGUUGCUGGGCCCCCACUCCCAGAGCUU